CUUGAUCUUCAGUUUAAGUCAUAUCGACGCCUGACUUUUUCCAGGUAACUCGAAGGAAUUUUCCAAUUAGGGUUUUGGAUCUUUCAAUUCAAGUUAGGGCUUUUGCAAGGUUUCAAGAAUUAACGAACCCUAAUCCAAACUCAGGAGCCAAAACGAUGUCGUACGACGAUGUGGAGAUCGAAGAUAUGGAGUGGAACAAUGAGCUCCAGGCGUACACAUACCCCUGUCCAUGCGGGGACUUGUUUCAGAUCACCAAGGAGGACCUGAAGUUGGGCGAAGAGAUCGCUCGGUGCCCUAGUUGCUCCCUCUACAUCACCGUCGUUUACAACGUCGAAGAUUUCUUAGAUAAGAAAAGUAACAAACCCAUCGAGCCCUCCAAGCAGCAACCCAUUACUGUCGCUUAAACUUUCAGGGAGAGCGAGAGCAAAACAGUAGCUGAUAGCAUGGCAAGAUUUCGGUUCUCACUGGAAGUAGGCUGCACAUUGUUAUGCCCCUCCAACUCAAGUCAAGGAUGUCUAUUUUCUCACCUGAUGGCCUGAUCUGGAGAUGGCAAAGUGGUGGAAGGAUUCUUCCCAAGUUUUGUUAGAUAUAUAACUAGGUAUGAAGUGUGCAAGUAAGGAGUGAGGAAACUUUUUGUAUUCAACCUGCAAUGGAAAAGUAGAAUUUGAUAUGUUGAGGCUAUUGUUUUGAGCAAUUUUAUAACUUAUUGUUUGUCAUUUAUAUUUAGGGCUAAACACAUGUAAUCUGAUACCAGUUAAAUAAAAAAGAGAAAUCAGCUUGGUCAUUUAAAACUA